ACGAGCCACAUGCAAGGAAACUUGCACGUAUGGUUCUGGCGGGGUACCCCAUUAUACUGUACUGAAAGCUGGUUAUCGAUUCAAG
rnacentral:ncRNA from 1 species